UUGAACGCUGGCGGCAUGCUUUACACAUGCAAGUCGCACGGCAGCGCGGGCUUCGGCCUGGCGGCGAGUGGCGAACGGGUGAGUAAUACAUCGGAACGUGCCCAGUGGUGGGGGAUAGCUCGGCGAAAGCCGGAUUAAUACCGCAUACGACCUGAGGGUGAAAGCGGGGGAUCUUCGGACCUCGCGCUAUUGGAGCGGCCGAUGGCAGAUUAGCUAGUUGGUGGGGUAAAGGCCUACCAAGGCGACGAUCUGUAGCUGGUCUGAGAGGACGACCAGCCACACUGGGACUGAGACACGGCCCAGACUCCUACGGGAGGCAGCAGUGGGGAAUUUUGGACAAUGGGCGAAAGCCUGAUCCAGCAAUGCCGCGUGUGUGAUGAAGGCCUUCGGGUUGUAAAGCACUUUUGGCGGGAACGAAAAGGACUGUGCCAAUACCACGGUUCGAUGACGGUACCCGCAGAAUAAGCACCGGCUAACUACGUG
rnacentral:rRNA from 1 species